rnacentral:rRNA from 1 species
UAACAAUGAUUUCCCUAGUAACGGCGAGUGAAGAGGAAAGAGCUCAAAGUUGGAACCUGUUUGGCUUAGCUAAACCGGAUUGUAAACUGUAGAAGUGUUUUCCUGACACGCCUGGUAAAAAAGUCCUUUGGAACAGGGCAUCAUAGAGGGUGAGAAUCCCGUGUUUGGCCAGAGCUGUUGUCUUUUGUGAUACAUUUUCAAAGAGUCAGGUUGUUUGGGAAUGCAGCCUAAAUUGGGUGGUAAAUCUCACCUAAAGCUAAAUAUUUGCGAGAGACCGAUAGCGAACAAGUACCGUGAGGGAAAGAUGAAAAGAACUUUGAAAAGAGAGUUAAACAGUAUGUGAAAUUGUUAAAAGGGAACCGUUUGGAGCCAG